rnacentral:rRNA from 1 species
UUAGAAGCAGCCAUCCUUUAAAGAUAGCGUAACAGCUCACUGGUCUAAACAAGCCGUCCUGCGCCGAAGAUGUAUCGGGGCUCAAACUAUGUACCGAAGCUGAGGAUUCACACGUAUGUGUGAGUGGUAGCGGAGCGUUCCGUAGGCCUGCGAAGGUGUACCGCGAGGUAUGCUGGAGGUAUCGGAAGUGAGAAUGCUGACAUGAGUAGCGACAAAGAGUGUGAGAAACACUCUCGCCGAAAGUCCAAGGGUUCCUCAGCAAGGCUAAUCCGCUGAGGGUGAGCCGGCCCCUAAGGCAAGGCCGAAAGGCGUAGUCGAUGG